UUGUCCCCUUUUUUUUUUUUUUUUUUUUUUUUUGGUGCACUACUUU
rnacentral:ribozyme from 1 species